AGACUCCAUGCGGUCCACGCGGCCUCUCGCUUCAGAGCCGGCACACACUUACCCUGCCGCGAUUAGAAGGGGGAUCACGUCCCUUCAUUCUCUCUUCCCACGUCCGAUUUCACCCUGGUCCGCUGCAAAUUACAGAGAAGGGAACGCGGCGAUGCAUUUUAUGAUCCAUGCCUGCCUUUUUCUGCCAACGGAUUCUGUUCCUUUACAGAAUUACACGAUGUUUUAUGAAUGUCACUACUCUUUAAUUAAGUGAGGGGAACAUUCACAGACUCCGUUCUGUUUCUCCUAGCUCAAAAACUGAAAAUCCCUUUUGAUUGUGCUUGGUAUUUUCUAUUGUUUUCAAAAGUUGGUUGGCGUAUUGGUUACUGAACAUUGGUGGUGUACUUAAUGGAAAAUUACAUUUGAAGUGGAGUACUGAGGUGAAAAAUGGUGUUUUGAUUUUAUUAAUGCAUCCAUGUGGAAAAUGCUAGAAUCCCUUCACUGGAUGUCAUGUUUACAUAAUAUGGAAAAUGUCAAAGGGCUGAGUUCCACAGGGACUGUGUGGA